UAAGGAAUAUUGGACAAUGGGCGCAAGCCUGAUCCAGCCAUGCCGCGUGCAGGAAGAAGGACCUAUGGUCUGUAAACUGCUUUUAUACAAGAGAAAACCCAUCUACGUGUAGAUGGCUGAUAGUAUUGUAAGAAUAAGCAUCGGCUAACUUCGUGCCAGCAGCCGCGGUAAGACGAAGGAUGCAAGCGUUAUCCGGAUUCAUUGGGUUUAAAGGGUGCGUAGGCGGACUGAUAAGUCAGUGGUGAAAUCUCAUAGCUUAACUAUGGAACUGCCAUUGAUACUGUUAGUCUAGAGUACAGUUGCCGUUGGCGGAAUAUGACAUGUAGUGGUGAAAUACUUAGAUAUGUCAUAGAACACCGAUUGCGAAGGCAGCUAACGAAGCUGUAACUGACGCUGAGGCACGAAAGUGCGGGGAUCAAACAGGAUUAGAUACCCCCGUAGUCC
rnacentral:rRNA from 1 species